AUUGAACGCUGGCGGCAUGCCUUACACAUGCAAGUCGAACGGCAGCGGGGGAGAAGCUUGCUUUUCCUGCCGGCGAGUGGCGAACGGGUGAGUAAUACAUCGGAGCGUGCCCCGUAGUGGGGGAUAACUAGUCGAAAGAUUAGCUAAUACCGCAUACGACCUGAGGGUGAAAGUGGGGGACCGCAAGGCCUCAUGCUAUAGGAGCGGCCGAUGUCUGAUUAGCUAGUUGGUGGGGUAAAGGCCUACCAAGGCGACGAUCAGUAGCUGGUCUGAGAGGACGAUCAGCCACACUGGGACUGAGACACGGCCCAGACUCCUACGGGAGGCAGCAGUGGGGAAUUUUGGACAAUGGGCGAAAGCCUGAUCCAGCAAUGCCGCGUGUGUGAAGAAGGCCUUCGGGUUGUAAAGCACUUUUGUCCGGAAAGAAAUGGCUCUGGUUAAUACCUGGGGUCGAUGACGGUACCGGAAGAAUAAGGACCGGCUAACUACGUGCCAGCCGCCGCGGUAA
rnacentral:rRNA from 1 species